UAAAUUAUAGCAUGCAGUUGGUGAUUUAGUUUCUUUGUGAGUUUUGAUUUGGGGGAAGGCCGAAGGGAAAGUUUUUUUUUUUUUUGGUUAGAAUAAUAAAAAAUGAUAAUUGUGGUACAUAUGAAGUAUAAUUAUAAGUGUCAAAGACGAGAAAUAGAAGAGAACAAAAACUAACAUUAAUUGCAAAUUAAAUAAAAAGAAUUAUACUAUAUAUACAUUUUUCUUAAGGCCAAACAAGGUCAACACACACCCUCAAGUCGGAUAAAUCCUCCCCAAAAUUAUCUCCCUUGUUGCACCGGCCGUCGGCCGGAGUUGUUGCCGGCUGUUUAGCAACCCUUUUCUCAGUAAAGCAAGUUGCACCGGUUGAGGUAGAGGCACCACAAGAAGAGAGAGGCAAUGAUGUUGAGUAGGCUAAGUCCGUGUUUGGGUGUUUGAGAAGUUCAGACACAAGAAGAACAAGAGAAGCCAUUAUUUGAGAGAGAGAUGAGAAUAUUUGAAAAAGAAGUUGUUUGAUUUUG
rnacentral:lncRNA from 1 species